rnacentral:rRNA from 1 species
UACGUAGGGCGCAAGCGUUGUCCGGAAUUAUUGGGCGUAAAGAGCUCGUAGGCGGCUUGUCGCGUCGGAUGUGAAAGCCCGGGGCUUAACCCCGGGUCUGCAUUCGAUACGGGCAGGCUAGAGUUCGGUAGGGGAGAUCGGAAUUCCUGGUGUAGCGGUGAAAUGCGCAGAUAUCAGGAGGAACACCGGUGGCGAAGGCGGAUCUCUGGGCCGAUAUUGACGCUGAGGAGCGAAAGCGUGGGGAGCGAACAGG